rnacentral:rRNA from 1 species
AUUGAACGCUGGCGGCAUGCCUUACACAUGCAAGUCGAACGGCAGCACGGGAGCAAUCCUGGUGGCGAGUGGCGAACGGGUGAGUAAUAUAUCGGAACGUGCCCAGUCGUGGGGGAUAACGUAGCGAAAGCUACGCUAAUACCGCAUACUAUCUAUGGAUGAAAGCGGGGGAUCGCAAGACCUCGCGCGAUUGGAGCGGCCGAUAUCAGAUUAGGUAGUUGGUGAGGUAAAGGCUCACCAAGCCGACGAUCUGUAGCUGGUCUGAGAGGACGACCAGCCACACUGGGACUGAGACACGGUCCAGACUCCUACGGGAGGCAGCAGUGGGGAAUUUUGGACAAUGGACGCAAGUCUGAUCCAGCCAUUCCGCGUGCAGGAUGAAGGCCCUCGGGUUGUAAACUGCUUUGUACGGAACGAAAAGGUUUCUCUUAAUACGAGGAGCUCAUGACGGUACCGUAAGAAUAAGCACCGGCUAACUACGUG